GAGACACACUAAGGCGGUGGUGAAGAUCACAUAGAAAACAACAGAAGUCUGUCUGUGUGCGCCUUGCAGAAGACCCAGAAACCACUUCAUGGCUUCUAAUUGAUUACAUUCAGGCUACAUUUCAUGCCCCUUUAUCAUCUUCAAUAAUUACUGAGAGGAAAUAAGCUUAUGUUGGAUCAUUCAUACUCACACAACUAUGACUAAUCACCUUGUUUUUUGUGCUUUUACUGUGCUUGCUCUUACUUGCUGUCUUCAGGUUCAAGCUCAUGCUUCUCCUUCAGGAUCAUUGAUCCAGCAUCUGUCUUCACUUCUCAAAUGGAGAAGGUCUAACUCCAAGACCCCUCAGUCAGAUGGAAAUGUUCUUCAAUUUGAGAAUGGUUAUGUAGUGUUGAAGGAAAUGAUAUUGGGGUCGUUCCUCAUAGGAUCCGUGUUUCUGCCGAAAAUGGUGAUUGCAAUUAUCAGUCUAGUUCAAUAUCUAUUACAGAUGUCCUCAUAGUUGUUGGUGCUGUUUUAGUAGGAUACGCUACAUGCAGGUUUCAGCAAGGAUUUGGAUUAUCUUUCUUCCUCAAAACACCACCAUCAAAAGGUGAAUUCAAAGGCCAAGACCAUAAGGAGGUGAAAAAAUGGCCAGCUUUUAGACAGCUUCUUUUGUAUCUUUCUAAUCUCUCCCUCAAAACAUUUAGUUCUUUCUUUCAAUUCACACCAUGGCAUUCCAAGUCUGAUAGCACCAAGAGAUGUUAAAAGAUCGUCUUAAGAUGCCAGAAGAUGAGGUAGAGGCCACCAUGGCAGAUAGGCAAAGGGCUUUUGAUUCAUUUCUUACUGAAACUAAGCAUGUUGAUACUCCAAGCACAGCUGAGAAAUAUUCAGAAAUGAGGCCUGCAAAGAUAAAAUCAAGCUCUUCCAAGGAUCCCUCUUUCUUAAGAAAGCACCAUUCAUCGAAAAAACAGGAGUAUGCUGAGUUCUAUGGAUCGACUGAGGUGCCAUCUUAUGCCAAAUCUAAGAGCCUUAAGCAAAGGUCUAAACAUCGGCAACAACGAGAAAAGGUUGGACAUGAUCUUUUGAAGGGUGUUGGAGCAGAGAAAAAACCAGCUAAGAUGAUGGGUUUCAAUCUGCAUUAACUGGGUUUACACCUUUUUCUUGGUUCACCAUUCUUUUACAAGAAUAUAUGAUGAAAUUGAAGCAAGAAAGAUAUAUUCUAACUUCUAACUAAAGUUUAUGACUUAGCCAAGCAUGCAUAUUGAAGAUGCGAUCAUACCAACAAUACACUGAUUCCAUAAGCAAUUAAGCUCAUAUGGGUUAGAGUAAUAAUAGAAUGGAUUGCCUCCUGAGAAGUUCUGAUGAGUCGUGUUACACUUCUUUAUUUUUGAAAAAACAAAAAGCAUGCAGAUUGGGACAUAGUUUUUGAUCCCUACUACUCAUUUCAAGGAGAUUACUGCAUCAUGCAAAAAAAGAGAGAUGAGAUUACUACAUCUUCUGAAUUGUUUAUUGACUAAAGAAGUAAGGUUUACUGCAACUCGAUGAUGGUAAACAAGUGUAGUAUUUGGUGAAUAUAUUGUUCCCACCAGGACGAAAAUCAGUAACCGAGUUAUAAUUGUUCAGAUAAUCAGUUUUUUGCAGUUUUGAUGUAAGUGAAACUACUAAGGUGGUUCAUUCAGAUGUAAUAAUUGUUUAUCAAAGUUGUACAAUCAAGAUAUGAUAAUGUUCGUACUCAA